rnacentral:lncRNA from 1 species
GGUACUCUUAUAGUGUGUAGGGGUGCCACUGUGAUGUCCCAAGAAGAAGAACAGUGAAAAGAGUCUUUUAUAUUCAUGCUAUGUUAUAAUCAUAUUGUAUGAUUAUAUUUUCAUAUCUUAAAGAUGUAGUUAGAUGCCAUGAUUAGUUGUUAUAAAGAUACAACCAUAAUAGUGCAUCAUUGUGAUUGAUUGAAUUAGGAUGUGCAUGAGACCAUCAAAGCCCUCAUAAAAA